UUGGAGAGGCCAAACAACACAGUACGCUUUCCCUUUCCGGAUCUGGCUUCUCUCCGAUCACCGCGAUUCUUUGAAAUCGAUCGGCUUCUCUCCGAUCACCGCGAUUCUUUGAAAUCGAUCGGCUUCUCUACUCUAUCGCUCUAUAUCCAGUCUCAAUCCUCUAAUGCUUUACUGCUAUUAGGUAUUUUCUUAGUCUGUAGUCCUAUUUGUUUACUACCGGCUGCGAUUCGUCGGAUCGUUAUCUAUGCUUGAGGUCCAAAACUUUUUACAUGUGCUUCAAGGUUUAAAUGUGAAAGACAGUGCAGAUGUGAUGAGCAAAUACAAUGUUAAAAGGAGGCUAAUGUAGUUUGUAACCUGAGACUAAUGUAGUUUCACAUUGUUAUAAUCAUUUUUUUCUCUUACUAAGUGCAAACCUUUGAUUGAAAAUAAUACAAUUUGAUUUUUUCCUUUAUAGAAGGAUUUGAUUUUUAUAACUGGAUGGCAUUUGUUUUGAGCACGUGAAACCAAUAUGCUUGUUAUUACUACUGGUUUGUCAUUUUUGUUUUGAAUAUGAAGUCACUAAUCAAAUGUGAAUAACCUACAGAGUUCUGUGAUCAAGUACAGAUUCAGUGUGCUCUCAUUGGUAGCUAAGGAGGUUAUCACUAUUAGUGACUCAUGGGUGCCAAGAUGAUCGUUUCAACCUAAUUUCUAGGGGAGCCAUUUUCAAGCAGAAUAGAUGGCAAAGAAAGAACAAACACGCAAAGCUUAAUUCCCAAAAUGGCUGGUUAGUAGCCAUUAUUUAUAGAACAGAAGGCUGAAGAGUUCAAAUCAAGUUUGGAGGAACGAAAUAUCCUCAUCAUUAAGCACCAUGGCUUUUGUUUGUAAUGAAAACAUUACCUCAGUGUUUCGGCCAUCAAGUUCUGCAGAUGUCCUUCCCUAAGAUGAAUAAUGGAGCCAAGAUGAACAAUGGAGCCAUUUUCAGGUUAUAUCAGAUGGAUGGCAAAGUCUAAGCAGUGAAUAGCAAACACGCAGAGGGUUAGUGCAAAAGGCGGUUUAGAGAGGUUUAUAUAGAGGGCUAACAUUGUAUUCGAAAUUUGAAAAAUACCUUGGAAGCCUGAAGGCUACUGGAAACCUUUCAGUUUCCAAGAGCACAAUUAAUAGAUGAUUGUUUAGAAGCAUUUAAUAGUAUAUAUACAGAUGUAAAAUAUGUAGGUGUCUAUCUGUAGUUAUGCGCGUGUCUAUCUGUAUGUAUGCAGGUGUAUAUAUGUAGCUUAUCAUUAGAAGUCUUUCAUUAAUAGAAGUGUAUUUAUUGUA